rnacentral:rRNA from 1 species
CCUACGGGAGGCAGCAGUGAGGAAUAUUGGUCAAUGGACGAGAGUCUGAACCAGCCAAGUAGCGUGAAGGAUGACUGCCCUAUGGGUUGUAAACUUCUUUUAUAUGGGAAUAAAAUGUUCCACGUGUGGGAUUUUGUAUGUACCAUGUGAAUAAGGAUCGGCUAACUCCGUGCCAGCAGCCGCGGUAAUACGGAGGAUCCGAGCGUUAUCCGGAUUUAUUGGGUUUAAAGGGAGCGUAGGUGGAGUGUUAAGUCAGUUGUGAAAGUUUGCGGCUCAACCGUAAAAUUGCAGUUGAAACUGGCAGUCUUGAGUACAGUAGAGGUGGGCGGAAUUCGUGGUGUAGCGGUGAAAUGCUUAGAUAUCACGAAGAACUCCGAUUGCGAAGGCAGUUCACUGGACUGCAACUGACACUGAGGCUCGAAAGUGUGGGUAUCAAACAGGAUUAGAUACCCCAGUAGUC